AGAGUUUGAUCCUGGCUCAGAUUGAACGCUGGCGGCAGGCCUAACACAUGCAAGUCGAACGGUAACAGGAAGUAGCUUGCUACUUUGCUGACGAGUGGCGGACGGGUGAGUAAUGUCUGGGAAACUGCCUGAUGGAGGGGGAUAACUACUGGAAACGGUAGCUAAUACCGCAUAACGUCGCAAGACCAAAGAGGGGGACCUUCGGGCCUCUUGCCAUCAGAUGUGCCCAGAUGGGAUUAGCUAGUAGGUGGGGUAACGGCUCACCUAGGCGACGAUCCCUAGCUGGUCUGAGAGGAUGACCAGCCACACUGGAACUGAGACACGGUCCAGACUCCUACGGGAGGCAGCAGUGGGGAAUAUUGCACAAUGGGCGCAAGCCUGAUGCAGCCAUGCCGCGUGUAUGAAGAAGGCCUUCGGGUUGUAAAGUACUUUCAGCGGGGAGGAAGGCGGUGAGGUUAAUAACCUCACCGAUUGACGUUACCCGCAGAAGAAGCACCGGCUAACUCCGUGCCAGCAGCCGCGGUAAUACGGAGGGUGCAAGCGUUAAUCGGAAUUACUGGGCGUAAAGCGCACGCAGGCGGUCUGUCAAGUCGGAUGUGAAAUCCCCGGGCUCAACCUGGGAACUGCAUUCGAAACUGGCAGGCUAGAGUCUUGUAGAGGGGGGUAGAAUUCCAGGUGUAGCGGUGAAAUGCGUAGAGAUCUGGAGGAAUACCGGUGGCGAAGGCGGCCCCCUGGACAAAGACUGACGCUCAGGUGCGAAAGCGUGGGGAGCAAACAGGAUUAGAUACCCUGGUAGUCCACGCCGUAAACGAUGUCGAUUUGGAGGUUGUGCCCUUGAGGCGUGGCUUCCGGAGCUAACGCGUUAAAUCGACCGCCUGGGGAGUACGGCCGCAAGGUUAAAACUCAAAUGAAUUGACGGGGGCCCGCACAAGCGGUGGAGCAUGUGGUUUAAUUCGAUGCAACGCGAAGAACCUUACCUGGUCUUGACAUCCACAGAACUUAGCAGAGAUGCUUUGGUGCCUUCGGGAACUGUGAGACAGGUGCUGCAUGGCUGUCGUCAGCUCGUGUUGUGAAAUGUUGGGUUAAGUCCCGCAACGAGCGCAACCCUUAUCCUUUGUUGCCAGCGGUUAGGCCGGGAACUCAAAGGAGACUGCCAGUGAUAAACUGGAGGAAGGUGGGGAUGACGUCAAGUCAUCAUGGCCCUUACGACCAGGGCUACACACGUGCUACAAUGGCGCAUACAAAGAGAAGCGACCUCGCGAGAGCAAGCGGACCUCAUAAAGUGCGUCGUAGUCCGGAUUGGAGUCUGCAACUCGACUCCAUGAAGUCGGAAUCGCUAGUAAUCGUAGAUCAGAAUGCUACGGUGAAUACGUUCCCGGGCCUUGUACACACCGCCCGUCACACCAUGGGAGUGGGUUGCAAAAGAAGUAGGUAGCUUAACCUUCGGGAGGGCGCUUACCACUUUGUGAUUCAUGACUGGGGUGAAGUCGUAACAAGGUAACC
rnacentral:rRNA from 1 species